rnacentral:rRNA from 1 species
CUGGAAUGGUUCCUGACUAAAAUCUAUACGGCCUCUGGAUUGGACUGCGGCCGAUCAGGCUGUUGGUGAGGUAAUGGCCCACCAAACCUGUAACCGGUACGGGCUCUGAGAGGAGGAGCCCGGAGAUGGGCACUGAGACAAGGGCCCAGGCCCUAUGGGGCGCAGCAGGCGCGAAACCUCUGCAAUAGGCGAAAGCCUGACAGGGUUACUCUGAGUGACUUUCGCUAAGAAAGUCUUUUGGCACCUCUAAAAAGGGUGCAGAAUAAGGGGUGGGCAAGUCUGGUGUCAGCCGCCGCGGUAAUACCAGCACCCCGAGUGGUCGGGACGAUUAUUGGGCCUAAAGCAUCCGUAGCCGGUUCUGCAAGUCCCCCGUUAAAUCCAGCUGCUCAACAGAUGGGCCGCGGAGGAUACUACAGAGCUAGGAGGCGGGAGAGGCAAGCGGUACUCGAUGGGUAGGGGUAAAAUCCGUUGAUCCAUUGAAGACCACCAGUGGCGAAGGCGGCUUGCCAGAACGCGCUCGACGGUGAGGGAUGAAAGCUGGGGGAGCAAACCGGAUUAGAUACCCGGGUAGUCCCAGCUGUAAACGAUGCAGACUCGGUGAUGAAUUGGCUUUAUGCCAAUUCAGUGCCGCAGGGAAGCCGUUAAGUUUGCCGCCUGGGGAGUACGGUCGCAAGACUGAAACUUAAAGGAAUUGGCGGGGGAGCACCACAAGGGGUGAAGCCUGCGGUUCAAUUGGACUCAACGCCGGU